rnacentral:rRNA from 1 species
UACGUAGGGUGCGAGCGUUGUCCGGAUUUAUUGGGCGUAAAGAGCUUGUAGGCGGCUCGUCGCGUCGGGUGUGAAAACUUGCGGCUUAACCGCAAGCCUGCACCCGAUACGGGCGGGCUAGAGUUCGGCAGGGGAGACUGGAAUCCUGGUGUAGCGGUGGAAUGCGCAGAUAUCAGGAGGAACACCGGUGGCGAAGGCGGGUCUCUGGGCCGAUGACUGACGCUGAGAAGCGAAAGCGUGGGGAGCGAACAGG